rnacentral:rRNA from 1 species
UACAGAGGUCCCGAGCGUUGUUCGGAUUCACUGGGCGUAAAGGGUGCGUAGGCGGGUUUUUAAGUCAGAGGUGAAAUCCUGGAGCUCAACUCCAGAACUGCCUUUGAUACUGAAAGUCUUGAGUAUGGGAGAGGUGAGUGGAACUGCGAGUGUAGAGGUGAAAUUCGUAGAUAUUCGCAAGAACACCAGUGGCGAAGGCGGCUUCCUGGACAAAAACUGACGCUGAGGCGCGAAAGCUAGGGGAGCAAACAGG